rnacentral:lncRNA from 1 species
AAGCUUUCGCUACUGCUGGGCAGACUCUGGAGCGUGGAAGGUGUUGAUUCAUCGCGCGUAAUGACACUUGAGAAAGAGAGCAAGGACUUUACCGUGGAUGACAUGCGUUUGAAGGGAUCAACGUUGAGAGUGGGUUUCACGGUUUCUAAAGUUAGGUGGCAGGUACGGUCGAACCCUCGCUUUGCCCUCAGUGGUUGAGUGUCGCGUGAGUAACUUUACCAAUUUUUUUUUCUCAUUUCAUUAUUUCAUUUCACUCUCUGUUUUCACUUUCUCGUUUCACUCUCUGAUUUCACUCUCCCUCAGUUUUCCCUCUUUCACGGUCAUUCUCGCAUUUCACCCUCGUUCUCAUUUUUCACUCUUCACAAUUGGUGCCAUUGCAACUCGUAAGAAAAUUUCUCUCUCAUUUCACUAUCCCUCUCAUUUCACAGUCUCUGAUUUUCUUUCUUUGCUGCUUCAAUGCUGCAUUGUAGGUUCCAUUAUUUUCGAAGUGGCAGUGGUGAAGUAUAGAUAGUGGAAGACGAACGAACCUUGCAGAUUUUUUGUCUUUGUAGAAGUUGAGUUGAUUGAGAGCAUUGCUGAUUGAAAUGUUAGUUUAUUUUUUGGUGAUUUUUGUACAAAUGAUCCUUCAUUUUUUUAAUUAAUUUGAUCAAUAAUAUGUGAGAUGAUUUGUUAUUUAACCAGAACAUUGAUAUUGGUCUCACUUAUGUUUAUCAGAACGCAGAUGCCUAAUUUGUAAUGGAUUUGCUUAUUUAUCAUUAUUUUAAGUUUUUAAAGUUUUGGUAGGUUUUGGUUCAUGUUUGUUUGUUUAUCGUUGGGACUGUUUUGGUUUAAUUCUAAUGAAUAUUCUAUCGUUUCUUAAUUAUAUAUUAUUCAUCCUUAUAUCGUUAAUUUGGUAAAGUUGUAAGAAAUGGAAGUUUUAGGUUUUGGGAUGGUGGAAUAAUCUGAUUGAUGAAUUGUUUUGUUUAUGAUGUGAAUGUUUGUGAGUUGCAGUUUAUGUGCUGAUUCUUACAAUUUGGUUGUUGCUCUCUGAAUUUGAUAUCAAUUGAUGUUGCACAUAUGUGGUUUGAUGGGUUUUGUAGAUAGCUUUCUGCACAAAUUUUACUAGUUUAUGGUGAUGCUUUUCAUUUAAGGUACUUAAUUAAACAGUGAUAUUUUUUCAAUGGUGAGGUGCUUUUUGUAUUGUUCUGAAUCUAGUUUUUCUUAAUCUGGUUUUUCUCAAUCUGGUUUGGUGGGUUUUGUAGAUAGCUUUCUGAACAAAUUUUAUUUAUGGUGAUGCUUUUCAUUUAAGUCUUAAUUAAACAGUGAUACCAACAUCCUGCCCCAUCUAAUUCAAAAAAUAAAAAUAUUACAUAUAUUCCUAUGUGUGUAGGUAUGGACUGUCUGUAUGGCUGAUAUAUGGUGCACCAAAUCCAAUUCACUCGUGCAGUGGAAUCAAAGAAUGAAUUGCAGCUGAAGGAC